UACAGAGGGUGCGAGCGUUAAUCGGAAUUACUGGGCGUAAAGGGUGCGUAGGUGGUUAAUUAAGUCAGAUGUGAAAUCCCUAGGCUUAACCUAGGAAUUGCAUUUGAAACUGGAUAACUAGAGUGCAGGAGAGGGAAGUGGAAUUUCCGGUGUAGCGGUGAAAUGCGUAGAUAUCGGAAGGAACACCAGUGGCGAAGGCGACUUCCUGGCCUGUUACUGACACUGAGGCACGAAAGCGUGGGGAGCGAACAGG
rnacentral:rRNA from 1 species